rnacentral:rRNA from 1 species
UACAGGGGGGGCAAGCGUUGUUCGGAAUUACUGGGCGUAAAGGGCUCGUAGGCGGCCAACUAAGUCAGACGUGAAAUCCCUCGGCUUAACCGGGGAACUGCGUCUGAUACUGGAUGGCUUGAGAUUGGGAGAGGGAUGCGGAAUUCCAGGUGUAGCGGUGAAAUGCGUAGAUAUCUGGAGGAACACCGGUGGCGAAGGCGGCAUCCUGGACCAACACUGACGCUGAUGAGCGAAAGCCAGGGGAGCAAACGGG